GGGCUUGUGGUGCAACGGCAGCAUGUCUGACUCCAAAUCAGAAGGUUGUGUGUUCAAAUCACGUCAGGCUCA